AAACUACUCCGGUUAUCCUCAUAUCUUCUGAUGUUACGCCUUGAGGAUUGGUCCUUACACCGUGGUGGUUUACUGUCUCAUAACCCCCUAUCCGUUACUGGGCUGUUACCAGGAACCACUGGUGAGCCUAUGUCAAAGGUGUUUAUUCUCUUUCCAGCACGCACAUGUGCCCUCAUACAUUUAUUCAUUCAUGCACGGAGUUAGUUGCACAUCUGGCGCUCAUGCCCAAGAGCACUUCAUCAUCAGGGAUGCUGAAUUGAAAUGCAAGCAUCAAUAUCGGGUAGAGUGGACUUUGUUAAUGAUUGAGCG
rnacentral:sRNA from 1 species